GCUCCAGUGGCGCAAUUGGUUAGCGCACGGUACUUAUAAUCAGUAUUCUGUGUGUAUAUGAGCUAUGCCGGGGUUGUGAGUUCGAGCCUCACCUGGAGCA
rfam:Drosophila melanogaster chromosome 3L.